UACGUAGGGAGCAAGCGUUGUCCGGAAUCAUUGGGCGUAAAGCGCGCGUAGGCGGCCCUGUAAGUCCGUUGUGAAAGUCAAAGGCUCAACCUUUGAAAGCCGAUGGAUACUGCAGGGCUAGAGUCCGGAAGAGGCGAGUGGAAUUCCUGGUGUAGCGGUGGAAUGCGCAGAUAUCAGGAGGAACACCAAUAGCGAAGGCAGCUCGCUGGGACGGUACUGACGCUGAGACGCGAAAGCGUGGGGAGCAAACAGG
rnacentral:rRNA from 1 species